UCUCCUCUGCUUCUUCCAACCGUGAUGUGUUUCUGAGUUUCAGAAGCCAAGGUCCUUGGAGAGAGAGUAGACAAUG
rnacentral:pre_miRNA from 1 species